AUGGCCUUAGUAAAUUCAUUAUAUAGCCCUGUCAGUGCUAAGUAAAAGGAUAACACCUUUAAGCCAUCAUGGCCCACCCAACCCAACUUGGACUACAAGACGCAACUUCCCCUAUUAUAGAAGAACUCCUCUAUCUCCACGACCAUGCAAUACUAGUUGUAUUCACCAUUAGUGUUUUCGUAUUAUAUCUUAUUGCCUUCCUCAUUACCGCUUUAUUAACACACACUGACACAAUUGAUGCACAAGCAAUUGAAACAAUUUGAACAAUUCUACCAGCUGCCAUUUUGACUCUUAUUGCUCUUCCAUCCCUACGAAUUCUGUAUCUAAUAGACGAAAUUAACAACCCACAUUUAACAAUUAAAGUCAUU
rnacentral:tRNA from 1 species